GGAGGAGUAGCGAAGUCUGGCUAAACGCGAUGGACCGUAAAUCCAUUCCUUCGGGUUCGGUGGUUCGAAUCCACUCUCCUCCA
rfam:Lactobacillus pontis DSM 8475 NODE_84, whole genome shotgun sequence.